rnacentral:rRNA from 1 species
GGCUCUCUGUUUAUAUAAAUAUAGGGAGUCGAGCCUGCCCAGUGAAUUUUUAAACGGCCGCGGUACUCUGACCGUGCAAAGGUAGCAUAAUCAUUUGCCUUAUAAUUGAAGGCUAGUAUGAAUGGUUUAACGAGAGCAACACUGUCUCCUUUUUAUUUUCAAGAACUUAACUUUUAGGUGAAGAGGCCUAAAUUCUAUUGAAGGACAAGAAGACCCUAUCGAGCUUAAAAGACACUAUAGAGGUUUAUAUAUUUUUAAAUAAAUUUUCUAUUAAGCUUUUUAGUUGGGGCGACUAAGGAACAAAAAAAGCUUCUUGCUAAUGAUAAACAGUCAUGUUUAGAUCCGAAAAUAUUCGAUCAAAGAAAUUAGUUACCGUAGGGAUAACAGCAUAAUCUCUCUUGAGAGACCUAAUCGAAAGAGGGGGUUGUGACCUCGAUGUUGGACUAGAAUAUCCUAAAGAUGCAGAAGUCUUUGAGGGUCGGUCUGUUCGACCGUUAAAAUUCU